rnacentral:rRNA from 1 species
GAUCCUGGCUCAGAAUCAACGCUGGCGGCGUGCCUAACACAUGCAAGUCGAACGCGAAAGGGGAGCAAUCCCUGAGUAGAGUGGCAAACGGGUGAGUAACACGUGGGUGACCUGCCUUCGAGUGGGGGAUAACGUCCCGAAAGGGACGCUAAUACCGCAUGACAUCCUGUCUUUGGACAGACGGAGAUCAAAG